rnacentral:rRNA from 1 species
CACUGUCACUCCUACGGGAGGCAGCAGUGGGGAAUAUUGCACAAUGGGCGCAAGCCUGAUGCAGCCAUGCCGCGUGUAUGAAGAAGGCCUUCGGGUUGUAAAGUACUUUCAGCAGUGAGGAAGGUGGAUAUGUUAAUAGCAUAUUCAUUUGACGUUAGCUGCAGAAGAAGCACCGGCUAACUCCGUGCCAGCAGCCGCGGUAAUACGGAGGGUGCGAGCGUUAAUCGGAAUUACUGGGCGUAAAGCGCAUGCAGGUGGUUUGUUAAGUCAGAUGUGAAAGCCCCGGGGCUCAACCUCGGAAUUGCAUUUGAAACUGGCAAACUAGAGUACUGUAGAGGGGGUAGAAUUUCAGGUGUAGCGGUGAAAUGCGUAGAGAUCUGAAGGAAUACCGGUGGCGAAGGCGGCCCCCUGGACAGAUACUGACACUCAGAUGCGAAAGCGUGGGGAGCAAACAGGAUUAGAUACCCUGGUAG